rnacentral:tRNA from 1 species
GGACGAGUGGGUGAGCGGCUGAAACCACAUCCCUGCUAAGGAUGCGUACGGGUAACUGUACCGAGAGUUCGAAUCUCUCCUCGUCCACCA